CAGCAGUCGCCACGGUAAUACGGAGGGGGCUAGCGUUGUUCGGAAUUACUGGGCGUAAAGCGCACGUAGGCGGCGAUUUAAGUCAGAGGUGAAAGCCUGGAGCUCAACUCCAGAACUGCCUUUGAGACUGGAUUGCUUGAAUCACGGAGAGGUGGGUGGAAUUCCGAGUGUAGAGGUGAAAUUCGUAGAUAUUCGGAAGAACACCAGUGGCGAAGGCGGCUCACUGGACUGGUAUUGACGCUGAGGUGCGAAAGCGUGGGGAGCAAACAGGAUUAGAUACCCCUGUAGUCCCUGUCUCUUAUAC
rnacentral:rRNA from 1 species